rnacentral:lncRNA from 1 species
GUUUCUGUGGCCCGGGGCGGGCGUAGUUGGAUCUAGCCGUACUGCAGAGGCAUCUGGGUCCCAGAUGGGCACAGAGGGUACCGAUGAGGAUGAUUUUCAAUUCUCACAGGAUAUCCCUAAACUCUAGGCAAAGUGCGUGUUGUUAGUCGUGACAUACACCAGACAGCGACUUCGUCUUACAAAUAGGAAAAUGGAAGCGUGGCGCUGUAAAUGGCGAACGACAUAUAAGUUGGACUGGGAAAGAGCGGCUUUCCCUCCUUCAGAAUCUGUGGAGAGAAGCUCAGAGGAGGAGUAGGGGAACUAUUGGCGAGGAGGUUAGGGUCUACCCUGUUCUUCUGACUCAAGCAACCCCGGCUUUUUGCUAAGGCAAACAUGGCUCUGAGAACAGUUGAAAAAACAAAGGCUAAGAAGGCGCAUUUCUCCUUAGAGCAGGACAACAGCCGUCUGUCUAUAGGGCAAUCCUGGGGCCAAACCAUUUAGGUUUCUGAGAAAGCCCCUGGUGAUGCUUGAAAUUAAGAGACGUCUCUGGAUUAGAAAAGUAAAGAAGUGACCUACGUGUGUCUGUUUC